rnacentral:rRNA from 1 species
UACGUAGGGUGCGAGCGUUACUCGGAAUUACUGGGCGUAAAGCGUGCGCAGGCGGUUUUGUAAGCCCGAUGUGAAAUCCCCGGGCUUAACCUGGGAAUGGCAUUUGGGACUGCAAGGCUUGAGUGCGGCAGAGGAGACUGGAAUUCCUGGUGUAGCAGUGAAAUGCGUAGAUAUCAGGAGGAACACCGAUGGCGAAGGCAGGUCUCUGGGCUGACACUGACGCUCAUGCACGAAAGCGUGGGGAGCAAACAGG